CCCGUCUGGAUUAUUGCAACUCCAUCCUUGUCGGUCUCCUCCACAAACUCCUCCAUAAAUUGCAACUGGUCCAGAAUGCUACUCGCAUCGUCACAGGAACGCCUGUCCACCAUCACAUCACUCCCGUUCUACACCAACUCCUCUGGCUCCCCAUAAAACAGCGCAUUGACUAUAAAAUUCUCCUCCACACAUUCAAGGCCAUCCAUAACCUCACCCUUCCAUACCUGUCAGACCUUCUCCACAUAAACAUUCCCACCCGGUCUCUCAGGUCUGCCUCCACUAUCACCCUCACUGUCCCCCCAUUUCGUCUGUCAACGAUGGGGGCCAGAGCCUUCAGUUGCUCUGCCCCUCGCCUCUGGAAUUCCCUCCCCCCAGACAUCAGAAACAUUGACUACUUCCACCUGUUCACAUCCCACCUCAAAACCCACCUGUUUAGGCAGGCAUAUGUCUGAAUUUAUCACUCUGCCGCAGAUGUUCUUUGCUUAUAGACUCUCUUUUCUUUUUCUUUUAAUUGUGCUUGCUAUUUUAUGUGUGUACGGCUACCUUGAGUGCCUUGAAAGGCGCCAUAUAAAUAAAAUGUAUUAUUAUUAUUAUUAUUUAUUUACUUUUUAAACAUUUUAAAGUGUAAACGUGUCACGGCUCCGCUCUGCUCUUGCUGUGCUGGCCGGCUGAUGCGCCCCUGCGGACCAGCGCGAGGGCAUCUGCACAAGACCUUUAUCAUUUUAUUUUUGAACACUUUAUUGUAUUUUUAAACACUUUAUUGUAUCUUUAAACACUUUUUAAACUGCUUUAAAAAGCUUGUUAUGCCUGUCUGCUUAGAUGACGCACGACGCGAGCUCUCUGACCGGCCCGUCAGCUUGCCUCGUCGUCCUGCUCUGCUGUCAUCAUUCCAGCCCUCCAUGUCUUUGUGUGAGCCCGCGUUGCAUUUGGGUGUCCUGCCUUGUUUGUGGAAAAAGGAAGUGCAAAUCAGAGAUGCUACCGAUUCUGCUGUCGCGAACUAAGUGGAAAAGUGGACACAUAGCACGACUGCGGGAGGCUGGGAUAAAGCAUGGUUAGAACUGCUCUUCCAGUUAAGCCAAUCAGCGGCAAGGAUAGGGAUCAACACGUUCCCAUUUGUCUUGUCUCCUCUACCGGCCAAUAGUGUGCUGUAAAGUCAUAUGGGCAGACAAAGCCCCGCGCUCCAAGUGACGCCGUAAAAAGCCGCAAUGCAGCGAAUAUAUCCGCAAUAUUUGUUUUCAUAAAAACCCGCGAUGCACCGAGGCUGCAAUAGGUGAAGCUCGAAGUAGCGAAGGAUUACUGUAUUGCUGUGACCUUUCUCUUGCUUUGACUGGCUUUCCCUUCUCUAUGACACUCUCUGCACAUACGUAGGAGUUGAUCUCAGUUAAGACUGCAUUAUCACACAGGCUAGGCCAGACAUGGGCAAACUACGGCCCGCAGGCCACAUCCGGCCCACGGGGCCGUUUAAUCCAGCCCGCCAACCCUCAAUAAAUUUUAUUAUGAAACAUUUUUUUUAGUAAUUUUCCCUGCAAUGACUGCGUUUCCCCAGUAGAUGGGGCCCAGGCAUUUACUACCGGAAGCCGUGUCAGAAAGCUUGGUGCACACUUAAAAGUGCGUGUACGUACUCAGUCGUACGGACUCGGCGCACUCCGCGCUCUAUUUCUAUUAGUGCCGAAUUUAGAGCAUGGGCUGUGACGUCACCAUUCUCGUAAUUCGCGCGCUGAGCUUUCAGAUACAGUUUUACGCUAAAGCCACCCACAAAACUUCCCCUGGAAUCCUUCCAUUAAAAUGAGUGGCCCAAG